CAGCAGCCACGGGAAUACAGAGGGUGCGAGCGUUAAUCGGAUUUACUGGACGUAAAGCGUGCGUAGGCGGCUUCUUAAGUCGGAUGUGAAAUCCCUGAGCUUAACUUAGGAAUUGCAUUCGAUACUGGGAAGCUAGAGUAUGGGAGAGGAUGGUAGAAUUCCAGGUGUAGCGGUGAAAUGCGUAGAGAUCUGGAGGAAUACCGAUGGCGAAGGCAGCCAUCUGGCCUAAUACUGACGCUGAGGUACGAAAGCAUGGGGAGCAAACAGGAUUAGAUACCCGUGUAGUCCCUGUCUCUUAUAC
rnacentral:rRNA from 1 species